rnacentral:rRNA from 1 species
AGUGAACGCUGGCGGUAGGCCUAACACAUGCAAGUCGAACGGCAGCACAGUAAGUGCUUGCUCUUACGGGUGUCGAGCGGCGGACGGGUGAGGAAUACAUCGGAAUCUACUUGUUCGUGGGGGAUAACGUAGGGAAAGUUACGCUAAUACCGCAUACGUCCUACGUGUGAAAGCAGGGGAUCUUCGGACCUUGCGCGUUUGAAUGAGCCGAUGUCGGAUUAGCUAGUUGGGGGGGUAAAGGCCCACCAAGGCGACGAUCGGUAGCUGGUCUGAGAGGAUGAGCAGCCAGAUGGGAACUGAGACACGGCCCAGACUCCUACGGUAGGCAGCAGUGGGGAAUAUUGGGGAAUGGGGGAAAGCCUGAUCCAGCGAUACCGCGUGGGUGAAGAAGGCGUUCGGGUUGGAAAGCCAUUUUGUUCGGAAAGAAAAGCAGCAGGUUAAUCCGCCGCUGUUCUGACGGUACCCAAAGAAUAAGCACCGGCUAACUUCGUG